AAUUUCUCAACCCCCUCUUCAGUUUUUCUGAAGGGGGUGGCUUGGAUGAUGGAGGUGUUGCCGGCUUGAUCAAAGUCAGCUCCUCUUAAAUGCAUUAGCGGAACCUUUGCAUUGACUUUGUUUCUGGUGUGAUAAAUUAUCUGCGCCGUUCCAGUCAUAGUUCAGCUUCUAAAUCUGUUUAUGGUCCUUUUUCCAAGGACAGAAACACUUUUUAAA
rnacentral:misc_RNA from 1 species